rnacentral:rRNA from 1 species
GAUGAACGCUGGCGGCGUGCUUAACACAUGCAAGUCGAACGGGAUCCCAGGGGUGCUUGCACUUUUUGGUGAGAGAGGCGAACGGGUGAGUAACACGACAGUACCCUGUCCUUUUCUUUAGGAUAAGCAUUUGAAAGGGUGUUUAAUACCUUAUGUUCUGUCUGCCUCGCAUGGGGUGGGUGGGAAAGGCUUUGGCCGGAUUUGGGUGGGUUCGCGGUCUAUCGGCGUGUUGGUGGGGUGAUGGCUUACCAAGGCUUUGACGGGUAGCCGGCCUGAGAGGGCGGGCGGUGACAACGGGACUGACAGGCAGUCCAGACUCGCGCGGGAUGCAGCAGUGGGGGAUAGUGCAGAAUGGUGGAAAGCCGGAUGCAGCGACGCCGAGUGGGGCAGGAAGGCGUUCGGGUGGUAAACUUCUGUAGCUCUGAACAAGGCAUGCCGGUGCGUAUGUGGAGGGUAGGGGUGGAGUAGCGCCGGCUAACUACGUG